rnacentral:rRNA from 1 species
UACAGACGGUCCAAACGUUAUUCGGAAUUACUGGGCGUAAAGCGUGCGCAGGCGGUUAUGUAAGACAGGUGUGAAAUCCCCGGGCUUAACCUGGGAACUGCAUUUGUGACUGCAUAGCUAGAGUACGGUAGAGGGGGAUGGAAUUCCGCGUGUAGCAGUGAAAUGCGUAGAUAUGCGGAGGAACACCGAUGGCGAAGGACAAUCCCCUGG